GACGAACGCUGGCGGCGUGGAUUAGGCAUGCAAGUCGAACGGUAGGGAACUUUCGGGUUCCUGAGAGUGGCGAACGGGUGAGUAACACGUAGGUAAUCUACCCUCAAAUCGGGGACAACCCAGGGAAACUUGGGCUAAUACCGGAUGCGUGCGGCACCUAAAUGAUCCUGGUUGGAAUGGGAGAGAUUCUGUUUUAACUGGGUGGGUUAUUUAGGUGCCGUAUAAAAGGUGGCUGGAAACAGCUGUUGUUUGGGGAUGAGCCUGCGCUCUAUUAGUUAGUUGGUGGGGUAAUGGCCUACCAAGGCGAUGAUAGAUAGGCGGCCUUAACGGGUGGUCGCCCACACUGGGAUUGAGAUACGGCCCAGACUCCUACGGGAGGCAGCAGUCGAGAAUAGUCUACAAUGGACGAAAGUCUGAUAGUGCGACGCCGCGUGAACGAGGAAGCCCUUCGGGGUGUAAAGUUCUUUUAUAUGUGAGCAAUGCUUUAUAUGUUGAAUAGCAUAUAGGGAGAGAUAUU
rnacentral:rRNA from 1 species